rnacentral:lncRNA from 1 species
CACACACACACAUUCACAAACAUGUACAUGUAAUAACUUUCUAAUCCUCUAGUACAUUAUUCAAUAUAUGCUAUAAAGUAAAUUCAGCAUAUUUGUCAUAUUGUAAAGUAUAUAGCGACUUCCCAGUAAAGUUUAAAAAACAACCCAAACACAAGAAGGUAUCAAUGCCCUAAACAUUUUUCUCCAGAAAAAAGAUAUUAAAAAUAAAAGCUUAACUUCAACAACUUUAGAAAUGUUUUAAGGCAAAUGUAAUUAAUUAGGAAAUGAUAAAGAAACUAGAGGAAAUACCAGGAUCUGAUACAACAGAAUAUAGUUCCAUAAUAAUGAAAUAUAAAAGUGAUCAAAUAAGGGAACAAAUAUGAAAAAUUUCCAAGUUAUGACCCUUGUUUUGACCUAAUUUUCAGAAAAGUCUGGUUAGCAAACAGCAAAAUAAGGAGGUGCUAGCUUUAACCCAAUUUUAUAACAGUAGAAUAUGAGUGUGUAGUCAGCACACCUGACACUUAAAGAAAAAAAACUCCCAAAGACAAGUAUGCAAUCAAUUAAUAAAAAACCAUAGUAAAUCAUACACACACAGAAAAGGGGCUGUGUUCAUUUCACUAGUGAGCAGCAGAUGGUAUUAGGGCUGUCAACAAAUACUUCACUUCUGCAGUACGGCACCUUAACCCCUGUUUUGGUAACUCGGUAUCAUUAAAUGUAAAAAAUCACUGUCUAAUGUUUAAUUUACAUAUAUUAUAGAUAUUGUCAUCCCGACUUCAAACAAUCCCCACAACUGACCUAAGUCAGUGACUGAUGCAGAGGGAUUACUGA